ensembl:lncRNA
UCACUGUCUUCGUCACGGUGCUCCCCUCGUGCGUGACCUCGCAGCUGUAACUGCCUUUCGAUUUCCAGUCGCUGCCCAUCAGGCUCAGGUAGCUGCUGGCCGCGUACUUGCUGUUGCUCUGUUUGGAGGCCCGGGUGGUCUCCACGUUGCGGGUGAUGGUGCUGCCGUCUGCCUUCCAGACCACGGUCACGCUACCCGGGUAGAAGUCGCUGAUGAGACACACCAGGGUGGCCUUGUUGCCGUUGAGCUCCUCCGUGGAGGGCGGGAACAGGGUGACCGAGGGUGGGGACUUGGGCUGACCUGCAAAAAGGUCUUUAUUCAGGAGAAGCAGGAACAGGGAGGGAGGAGAGGCCCCUGGUGUGAGGCGACCUGGGUAGGGGCUCAGGGGUCCAUGGAGAGGUGGGGGAGGGGGUGUGGGCCAGAGGGCCCCCGAGGGUGGGGGUCCAGGGCCCUAAGAACACUCUGAGGGCUUCACUGUCUUCGUCACGGUGCUCCCCUCGUGCGUGACCUCGCAGCUGUAACUGCCUUUCGAUUUCCAGUCGCUGCUCGUCAGGCUCAGGUAGCUGCUGGCCGCGUACUUGCUGUUGCUCUGUUUGGAGGCCCGGGUGGUCUCCACGUUGCGGGUGAUGGUGCUGCCGUCUGCCUUCCAGACCACGGUCACGCUACCCGGGUAGAAGUCGCUGAUGAGACACACCAGGGUGGCCUUGUUGCCGUUGAGCUCCUCCGUGGAGGGCGGGAACAGGGUGACGAGGGUGGGGACUUGGGCUGACC